GUGGGGAAUAUUGGACAAUGGGCGAAAGCCUGAUCCAGCCAUGCCGCGUGUGUGAAGAAGGUCUUCGGAUUGUAAAGCACUUUAAGUUGGGAGGAAGGGCAGUAAGUUAAUACCUUGCUGUUUUGACGUUACCGACAGAAUAAGCACCGGCUAACUUCGUGCCAGCAGCCGCGGUAAUACGAAGGGUGCAAGCGUUAAUCGGAAUUACUGGGCGUAAAGCGCGCGUAGGUGGUUUUGUAAGUUGGAGGUGAAAUCCCCGGGCUCAACAUGGGAACUGCCUCCAAAACUGCAUGACUAGAGUACGGUAGAGGGUAGUGGAAUUUCCUGUGUAGCGGUGAAAUGCGUAGAUAUAGGAAGGAACACCAGUGGCGAAGGCGACUACCUGGACUGAUACUGACACUGAGGUGCGAAAGCGUGGGGAGCAAACAGGAUUAGAUACCCUAGUAGUCC
rnacentral:rRNA from 1 species